CGAAGGUGUGCCCUAUCAUCUGUCGACUGUGGCAUAGACGCCCACAGUGGAUUUGACGGGUAACGGGGAAUCAGGGUUCGAUUCCGGAGAGGGAGCCUUAAAAACGGCUACCACAUCCAAGGAAGGCAGCAGGCACGCAAAUUACCCAAUGACCGAAGGUCGAGGUAGUGACGAAAAAUAACGAUACGGGACUCAUCCGAGGCCCCGUAAUCGGAAUGAGUACACUUUAAAACCUUUCCAACGAGGAUCUAUUGGAGGGCAAGUCUGGUGCCAGCAGCCGCGGUAAUUCCAGCUCCAAUAGCGUAUAUUAAAGUUGUUGCGGUUAAAAAGCUCGUAGUUGGAUCUCGGCGGCUAGAGGGCGGUAUGCUUCGUAGCAUUACUGCCCUAUUAGCCGUAGUUUUGCUAGGGGUUCCUGGGUGCUCUUAAUCGAGUGUCUAGGGAUGCUAGCAGGUUUACUUUGAAAAAAUUAGAGUGCUCAAAGCAGGCUAUUACGCUUGAAUAUUCGUGCAUGGAAUAAUAGAAUAGGAAGUUGUUUCUAUUUUGUUGGUUUUCGGAAAUCGACUUAAUGAUUAAUAGGGACAGUCGGGGGCAUUUGUAUUCAAACGACAGAGGUGAAAUUCUUGGACCGUUUGAAGACAAGCUACUGCGAAAGCAUUUGCCAAGAAUGUUUUCAUUAAUCAAGAACGAAAGUUAGAGGUUCGAAGGCGAUUAGAUACCGCCCUAGUUCUAACCAUAAACGAUGCCAGCUAGCGAUCUGAGGACGUUUUUUUGUAGACUCCUCAGGAAGCUUCCGGGAAACCAAAGCGUGUGGGUUCCGGGGGAAGUAUGGUUGCAAAGCUGAAACUUAAAGGAAUUGACGGAAGGGCACCACCAGGAGUGGAGCCUGCGGCUUAAUUUGA
rnacentral:rRNA from 1 species